rnacentral:rRNA from 1 species
GAUGAACGCUGGCGGCGUGCCUAAUACAUGCAAGUCGAGCGAGCAGAUGAGGAGCUUGCUCCUCUGACGUUAGCGGCGGACGGGUGAGUAACACGUGGAUAACCUACCUAUAAGACUGGGAUAACUUCGGGAAACCGGAGCUAAUACCGGAUAAUAUAUUGAACCGCAUGGUUCAAUAGUGAAAGACGGUUUUGCUGUCACUUAUAGAUGGAUCCGCGCCGCAUUAGCUAGUUGGUAAGGUAACGGCUUACCAAGGCAACGAUGCGUAGCCGACCUGAGAGGGUGAUCGGCCACACUGAAACUGAGACACGGUCCAGACUCCUACGGGAGGCAGCAGUAGGGAAUCUUCCGCAAGGGGCGAAAGCCUGACGGAGCAACGCCGCGUGAGUGAUGAAGGUCUUCGGAUCAUAAAACUCUGUUAUUAGGGAAGAAAAAAUGUGUAAGUAACUAGGCACGUCUUGACGGUACCUAAUCAGAAAGCCACGGCUAACUACG